rnacentral:rRNA from 1 species
AUUGAACGCUGGCGGCAGGCUUAACACAUGCAAGUCGAGCGGGGAAAGGUAGCUUGCUACCUAACCUAGCGGCGGACGGGUGAGUAAUGCUUAGGAAUCUGCCUAUUAGUGGGGGACAACAUUCCGAAAGGAAUGCUAAUACCGCAUACGCCCUACGGGGGAAAGCAGGGGAUCUUCGGACCUUGCGCCAAUAGAUGAGCCUAAGUCAGAUUAGCUAGUUGGUGGGGUAAAGGCCUACCAAGGCGACGAUCUGUAGCGGGUCUGAGAGGAUGAUCCGCCACACUGGGACUGAGACACGGCCCAGACCCCUACGGGAGGCAGCAGUGGGGAAUAUUGGACAAUGGGCGAAAGCCUGAUCCAGCCAUGCCGCGUGUGUGAAGAAGGCCUUUUGGUUGUAAAGCACUUUAAGCGAGGAGGAGGCUACUUGGAUUAAUACUCUAGGAUAGUGGACGUUACUCGCAGAAUAAGCACCGGCUAACUCUGUGCCAGCAGCCGCGGUAAUACAGAGGGUGCGAGCGUUAAUCGGAUUUACUGGGCGUAAAGCGUGCGUAGGCGGCUUUUUAAGUCGGAUGUGAAAUCCCUGAGCUUAACUUAGGAAUUGCAUUCGAUACUGGGAAGCUAGAGUAUGGGAGAGGAUGGUAGAAUUCCAGGUGUAGCGGUGAAAUGCGUAGAGAUCUGGAGGAAUACCGAUGGCGAAGGCAGCCAUCUGGCCUAAUACUGACGCUGAGGUACGAAAGCAUGGGGAGCAAACAGGAUUAGAUACCCUGGUAGUCCAUGCCGUAAACGAUGUCUACUAGCCGUUGGGGCCUUUGAGGCUUUAGUGGCGCAGCUAACGCGAUAAGUAGACCGCCUGGGGAGUACGGUCGCAAGACUAAAACUCAAAUGAAUUGACGGGGGCCCGCACAAGCGGUGGAGCAUGUGGUUUAAUUCGAUGCAACGCGAAGAACCUUACCUGGUCUUGACAUAGUAAGAACUUUCCAGAGAUGGAUUGGUGCCUUCGGGAACUUACAUACAGGUGCUGCAUGGCUGUCGUCAGCUCGUGUCGUGAGAUGUUGGGUUAAGUCCCGCAACGAGCGCAACCCUUUUCCUUAUUUGCCAGCGGGUUAAGCCGGGAGCUUUAAGGAUACUGCCAGUGACAAACUGGAGGAAGGCGGGGACGACGUCAAGUCAUCAUGGCCCUUACGACCAGGGCUACACACGUGCUACAAUGGUCGGUACAAAGGGUUGCUACCUAGCGAUAGGAUGCUAAUCUCAAAAAGCCGAUCGUAGUCCGGAUUGGAGUCUGCAACUCGACUCCAUGAAGUCGGAAUCGCUAGUAAUCGCGGAUCAGAAUGCCGCGGUGAAUACGUUCCCGGGCCU